ACCUUUGGUAGUUCAGGAGUGUGUUGUAUAAACUUCACAUAUUUGUGAAUUUUGUAAUUUUCCUUUUUCUGUGAAUGCCUAGUUUCUUGCCACUGCAGUCAGGAAAGAAGCUUGAUAUUUUUCUUCUUUAGUUUGCUAAGAUUUGACUUUUUGAACUAACAUAUGAUCUACCCUAGAGGAUGAGUCAUGUAUUAUGAAUACACUUGAGAAGAACGUGUAUUAUGCUGCUGUUGGAUGAAAACAUCUGUAUAUGUCUCUUAUGCUUAUAUGGCAUAAAGUAUAAUCAAAAUAUUGAUUGUUUAUUCAUAUGACCUAUCCAUUGUUGAAAGUGAGGCAUUGAAGCCCCCUACUAUUAUUGUGUUGCUUUCUACUUAUCCUUUCAGAUUGAUUAAUAUUUGCUCAAUAUAUUUAGGUGCCCUGAUGUUGGAUGCUUAAAUAUUUACAAUGUCCUCUUGAUGGCAUUGGUAAUAAUGCCCUUCUUUGUCUCAUUACAAUUUUUGACUUAAAGUCUCUUUUGUCUGGUAUCAGUAUAGCUACCUUUGCUUUCUUUCAUUUGCCAUCUUCAUGGAAUAUAUUUUUCCAUUCCUUAAAUUUCAGUCUAUAUGUGUCCUUAAGCCUGAAAUGAGUCUCCUGUAUGAAGCAUAUAGUUAGGUCUUGUUUGUUUACCUAUUCAGCCACUCUAUGUCUUUCAGUUGAAUAAUUUACUGUGGUUACAUUUAAAGAUAUUAUUGACAGGUUAGAGCUUGCUAUUGCCAUUUUGUUGUUUUCUGGGUGUUUUCCAAAUUCUUUGUUCCUUUCUCUCUUUCUAGUCUCCCUUGUUUUAUCACUGAGGCAAGCCAGGAUGAGAAGGCACAGGAAGUCCAUUCCACGUGUCCAUUCAAACUCCUAAGGACUACACAUGAUGUGUCCUGACAGCUCCCAGACAAAGCUAAUUAGAAGCCUGACCCUUGGGCAGUAACUAGAAAAGUUAUGCAGGUCAACUUCUUCAGGAAGAAACAGGGAAUCUUAAUUCUGCAUGCUCUGGGAACUGCUUGAAUACCCAUUUUAAAACCACUUUCUUGUUUAAUGUGAUUCUAUAGGACUGACAAUUGUUGCGCCCCAUUGGGUUUCUGGGCUGGAUGAUUUGGGAACCCACCCAUUGGUGGCACCCAUAGAACUAGAAGUGCUAGAUAUGUGGACAAGCUUUUUCCAGAGAGAAGCUUGAGACUUGGUUUUAUUAUUGGAGCAAGCUGCAGGUAGAAGGCAAGGAAGUGCUCACAAGCUUGAUAAGUCAAGCUCCUGGGUGGAUCCCAGUCAGCUUCCACAUGAAGGCAGAUUAGGAGCCUGAUAAUCAGGCAGUAGCUAGGAAAAUAUGCACGCUCCUUCUAGGAAGAACUGGGAGCUUUGAGGUUUUUGCCUGUUCCCUUUGUGCUAAGCUGAGUUGGGGAGAUAGCCUUAAGGACCAUAAAAAGAAUGUAUACAUGUAUGUGUAACUGGGUCACCAUGCUGUAUAGUAGAAAAAAAAAUUGUAUUGGGGAAAUAACAAUGAAAAAAUUAAAAAAAAAAAAGCUAGAGUGCUACCCAUGUGGUUCAAUUCAUUCACUCCUCAGGGAGGAACUGGGAGCUGUGGGGGGUUCCCUCCCAAUUGUAAGGCUCAAUGCUGGAGACUGUGCUUGGUGGUGCAAGUGUGUGUUAGUCUUUCCCUUUUGAUGCGGGUAUUGCAUGAUGUGGAGGAAUCAUUGAGCUAGUGUCUGGAUUUAUCUCACAGGGAAUUGAGACCUGUGAAACUAUAUUUUCCUUCCACCUCUAUGGAAGAAGAAAAAGACAGGAGCCUCCUCUUGUGCACCUUGCUCCUGCUAUCCAAGAAAGUGAAUUUUUAAUUCUAAUGAUUUUAAAUUUAAAUAGCCACAUGUGGCUAAUUGCUACCACUUUGGACAGUGCAAUUUUAUACCAUCUAUAGAAAUCAUGUGCUACAAAUAUUCAAGCUCAGAAUAAAAAUUCUAAUAUACUCUCAAAGCUCAAAGGAAAAGGUAUAUUUAAAAUUAUAUUAACUAAAAAGAAAUCCAAACUAAGACUUUUUUAAAAAUAUUUUUAAUGCAUAGAUACAAAUAAGGAAAGUUGCCAGGAUGACUUAUGGUAUGCGUCUUACCAUAAAACUUAGUAUUCCAGAAAAUAUAUUGACCCAAAGAAUCAGUUUUGUGUUCACAUCCUCAGUCACUGUCUUACUAUGUGCUUUCAGGCAAACUACUCGUUAUUCUAAGGUUUAUUUUAAUUUGUGAAAGGCUGAAAUAAUUCCAAAUUUACAACAAUGUUAUAAGGGUUAUAUGAGAUAAUCUGUAUACAAAAGACAUCUGGCAGAAUACCAGGCACCAAAUAGGUAUUAAAUUUCUCAAUUUUCAAAUUCCCAAAGUAUAUUGGUUAUACAAAGUUUCAUCACAUACACAAAAAUUUCCUCUUUACCUUCCUCUAAAAAGAAAUUUUAAAUGCAUUUUAAUCAAAGAAAUGAAAACCAAAAGUUUAGCACAAUAUCACGUUUUUCUUUUGUUAAUUAUAACUAUAGAAAUUAUAGUUAAUAACAACCAUAAGUUUUUUGUUUUUUUUUUUUUAGGGCCACACCUGUGGCAUAUGUAGGUUCCCAGGCUAGGGGCAGAAUUGGAGCUACAGCUCCCGGUCUACACCACAGCCAUAGCAAUGCCAGAUCCGAGCCAUGUCUGCUACUUACACCACAGCUCACGGCAAUGCCAAAUCCUUAAGCCACUGAGAGAGGCCAGGGAUUGAACUUGCAACCUCAUGGUUCCUAGUUGGAUUCAUUUACCCUGUGCCACAAUGAGAACUCCCACAACUCUAAGUUAUUAAAUGAGAAAGCAUAGAUUUUUUCUGCUUUGUCAGUCAUCAAAUUCUAGUGCUUAUACUAGUCAUUCAAUAACAUUUCUUAAAUAAAGCAAGCCUAAGCAAAUAUGCAAUCAUACUCCUUAAGCUAUUUAGAUUUCAUAAUAUCAGUCAUAAUAAUAAUUUGCAUUUUAGAAUACAGCUUUGAGUUCUUUUCUUCUUGCACAUUUUCAGUCUCACUUUUGCAUCAAUUUUUCUUUCAAACUGCCCUUCAUUUUCUUCCUCUCCACUCUCAAUGCUAUUUCACCACACUGAUGACCCAUUUAAAUGAACACAUUAACCUCUAGCUGCCAGUCUUAUCCCCAAGUUUCACUGUUGACACUAUCCUCUACAUCAGCAGACCAAAACCUGGGGGUUCCCCAAAGUAAAGUGUCACUUUUUAUCAUUAACAGUAAAGAGUCGCUAUUUAUCAUUAACAGUAAAGAGGGACAAAUAUUUUAAAAUCUUUUAAACACAAACAAAUAUAAGUA
rnacentral:lncRNA from 1 species